rnacentral:rRNA from 1 species
GACGAACGCUGGCGGCGUGCUUAACACAUGCAAGUCGAACGGUGAAGGGGCCUGCUUUUGUGGGCCCUGGAUGAGUGGCGAACGGGUGAGUAACACGUGAGUAACCUGCCCCCUUCUUCUGGAUAACCGCAUGAAAGUGUGGCUAAUACGGGAUAUUCUGGGUCUGUCGCAUGAUGGGUCUGGGAAAGAUUGCGCCUUUGGGUGUUUUUGGUGGGGGAUGGGCUCGCGGCCUAUCAGCUUGUUGGUGGGGUGAUGGCCUACCAAGGCGGUGACGGGUAGCCGGCCUGAGAGGGUGGACGGUCACACUGGGACUGAGACACGGCCCAGACUCCUACGGGAGGCAGCAGUGGGGAAUAUUGCACAAUGGGCGCAAGCCUGAUGCAGCGACGCCGCGUGAGGGAUGGAGGCCUUCGGGUUGUAAACCUCUUUCGCCAGUGAAGCAGGCCUGCUCCUUGUGGGUGGGUUGACGGGAGCUGGAUAAGAAGCGCCGGCUAACUACGU